rnacentral:rRNA from 1 species
GACCAUCCCAGUUCGGAUUGCAGGCUGCAACCCGCCUGUAUGAAGUUGGAAUCGCUAGUAAUCGCGGAUCAGCAUGCCGCGGUGAAUACGUUCCCGGGCCUUGUACACACCGCCCGUCACACCAUGAGAGUCGGGAACACCCGAAGUCCGUAGCCUAACCGCAAGGAGGGCGCGGCCGAAGGUGGGUUCGAUAAUUGGGGUGAAGUCGUAACAAGGUAGC